UGGGCAGGCAUGUCUGUGAGAAAAGAGGGCAGGAAAAUGACCAGUGCUGGGGGCAGGGCCGCCCUGAGGCACAAGGCGAGGCUUCCAUGCAGCCUCACAUAUGUCACUGUGACAGCAGCUAGGGACAAGCUCGGUACUAAGUUGUUGCAUGACCUUGCCCCAGUCACUUUUUCUUUCUCAGCCUCAGUUGCUUCAUCUAUAAAAUGGGUGGAGUUAGGUUAAUAAUUUCCCAAAGUGUGCUCAACAGAAUGAUAACCUCAAAUCAUGCCCCUGGCGAUUCAGCGUACUCCAGCUUAUUCAAUGCCCUGACAAGUCCUGCACAGCAAUAGAACUGCUGACUUGGCCUAACCCAUCUUCUUUUAACCUUUCUGGACCACACAGCCUUUUAAGUAAGGUCAGUUAACAUCCCUUGGGCCAGUGGAACAGGCCUUGGCUAAUUUUCAAGUCUCUUCUGGUGCUGGGGGUCAGGAGGCCUGGUUAGUUGUGUGCUCCCUGGAGUUGAUAAGGCCCCUGCCCUUUGCUUCCCCAGCUAUCAGAGAACAUCAGUUCUCAUGGCCAAGCGUGGUAAUUUCUUGGCUUUCCAACAGCUCUCUUUCCUUUCUAGUUUUCCGGGGGGAAUCACCUUUCCUGCUCUCAUUCCACGUGACUUGGGUCAGGCUGGCCACACCACCUGGCUCCAGGGGGGUACACACACCUAGGCCUGUCCAAUGAGGUAACACAUCCUCUUGGCCACAGUGAUUAGUUCAUUGUGGGCAUGGACCCUAGUGUGGCCGACCAGAAAGAACUCUGUCACUUUUGCUGGAAAGAUCAGGAAAGAAAUGGUGCCUCUAUCCUGCUGUGGUUGCACAGCAGGAGGUCGUCUCUUCUUCCAUUUGGGGAUAGCCUGCCAGAGAGAUACCAAGAGAAGGCAGAGCUGAAGAUGGUGACAAACAGCUACUUGACAACAUCACUGAUGGUCUGGAUCCAGCCAUUCCUGAAGCCAUGCACAAGAGUACUGAGGCAGCGACUGUCUUUCCUCCUCACUAGAGGAGGCAGCUGAGGAAUGGCCACCGGACUCUCUGCAAGAUGGUCACUCACUCGAGACACUGUGCUGAGCACUCUCCGCCUGCCACGUGCUGUUCCAGGCACUGUUCCAGGCCCAGGGUGGAGCAGUGACGAGGAUGGACCAUGCCCCUGCUCUUGUGGAACUGAAGCUCUUGUCCAGGGAGACAGCAACAGACAGGAAAACACAAACACAAUGCACCGGACUGAAUGCUUGCGUCCCCAGAUUCCUGUGUUGAAACCCUGACCCCCCGUGUGGUGGCAUUAGGAGGUGAUUAGAUGGUUAGGUGAUUAGGGUGGAGCCCUCGUGAGUGGGAUUAGUGCCCUUACAAAAGGGACUCCAGCCAGCACUCUCUCUCCCCACCACGUGAAGGGCAAGGAGAAAACGGCCACCUGCAACGUGAAAGCAGACCCUCCCCAGAAGCCGCCCACGUGGGCACCCUGAUCUCAGACUUCCGGCCUCCAGAACCGCGGGAAGUAAAUUCCUGCCACCCAGUUGAUGGCACGUUGUUAUGGCAGCCUGAACUAAAAUACACAAUGAUUUCAGAGAGAUACGAAGCAACUUGGAGUGGGGUGGGGACAAUGUCUGACAACGCAGGGAUGGUCUCUCCGACAAAACACACUUGAUCUGAGGCCCUGAUGUGACACAGGGGCAGACUGGGAGAUGACCAGAGGAAGGGGGACGCUGGCAGAGGGAAUAGCAAGCGCCAACACCCCGAGGAGGGAACAGCCUGGCUUGCAUGAGGCCCAGGUGGCUGGUGUGGAU
ensembl:lncRNA